CUCUUGAAAAGACCACUUGUCGAAACGUUGGCUCCAGCGACACCUCGUGUUCAAGAAUUCUUGCUUCCUUCAAGCUUUCAUCUCCCCCUGAACUU
rnacentral:lncRNA from 1 species